GAUGAACGCUAGCGGCAGGCUUAACACAUGCAAGUCGAAGGGCAACGGGGAGAGUGCUUGCACUCUCUGCCGGCGACUGGCGCACGGGUGAGUAACACGUAUGCAACCUGCCCUCCACAGGGGGACAACCUUCCGAAAGGGAGGCUAAUCCCGCGUAUAUCCCUUGGGGGCAUCCCCGGGGGAGGAAAGGAUUACCGGUGGAGGAUGGGCAUGCGGCGCAUUAGGCAGUAGGCGGGGUAACGGCCCACCUAACCGACGAUGCGUAGGGGUUCUGAGAGGAAGGUCCCCCACAUUGGAACUGAGACACGGUCCAA
rnacentral:rRNA from 1 species